rnacentral:rRNA from 1 species
UGGGGAAUAUUGGACAAUGGGCGAAAGCCUGAUCCAGCCAUGCCGCGUGUGUGAAGAAGGUCUUCGGAUUGUAAAGCACUUUAAGUUGGGAGGAAGGGCAUUAACCUAAUACGUUAGUGUUUUGACGUUACCGACAGAAUAAGCACCGGCUAACUCUGUGCCAGCAGCCGCGGUAAUACAGAGGGUGCAAGCGUUAAUCGGAAUUACUGGGCGUAAAGCGCGCGUAGGUGGUUUGUUAAGUUGGAUGUGAAAUCCCCGGGCUCAACCUGGGAACUGCAUUCAAAACUGACUGACUAGAGUAUGGUAGAGGGUGGUGGAAUUUCCUGUGUAGCGGUGAAAUGCGUAGAUAUAGGAAGGAACACCAGGGGCGAAGGCGACCACCUGGACGAAUACUGACACUGAGGUGCGAAAGCGUGGGGAGCAAACA